rnacentral:lncRNA from 13 species
AUGAAGUUUUACUCUGUGGAGUACACUGGUUUAAAACCAAAAUCAAAAGAAGGAAGAUACGGAGCAAGAGAGAAAGAGGAUGAGACCACAAGUCCUGGAAUAGGAAAAUCUCUGCCUGAAGGAUGGUGUAAGUAACAAAGCAACUCUCUGGACCACUUUUUACAAAGGCACUAAUCCCGUGCACACGGACCCUGCAUUUAUGAUCUAAUCACCUACAAGAGGCCCCACCUAUGAUAUGAUCACCUUGAGGACUAGAAUCUCAACAUAUACAUUUUAGGAGAACACAAAUAGACCAUAGUCACCAGCAACUGCAAAAUCAGGUAGAUAAGAGGCUGCACCUGUAGGGAGCACCAAGCAAUGUGGUCUAGCUGGGGAGAAAGGUCAGGAAGGAAUAAUGUAGGAGGCAAGCCUGUAGAAAGAUAGGCUAGGGUUAGAGCAUAAAGCCUCAAAUGCUUCCUUGAGAAGUUUGCAUGUUAUUCUGAAGAUUAUAGGAGGGUACUACAGCUUUUCGAACAUGGCUGAUUUUUUAUUUUAGAAGAAUUACUCUGGUAGUAAGAUAUUAGCAAGACUGGGGAUAAGGGACAAGUUAGGGAGAGAAAAAGAAGGAAUGAAGAUACCCUCCUUUCAUCUUUGUUAAAAAACUGGAAAGAUCGUUGUGCUUCUACCUGAAAAUGGAAAUAAUGAGAAGCAACAGCUUUUUCCUUUGAGAGGUGGGCGAUGAAGAAAAAGGCCAAGUUCAAUGUGAGUAUUCCAGUUUCAAAAGUAUAUACAACAUGUGGACAGUGAGAUAAAAAGGAGAUAAGAGCUUAGAGAAAGUAUAGCUCUUCAAACUGACACAGGAACAGAUAAUCAAGCACCCCAUGUUCUCACUUAUAGGCGGGUGUUGAACAAUGAGAACACAUGGAC